AUCGCUGCCAACCUAUCUAUCGCUGCCAACCUAUCUAUCGCUGCCAACCUAUCUAUCGCUGCCAAUUUAUCUACCACUGCCAAUCUAUCUAUCGCUGCUAAUCUAUCGCUGCUGUCAAUCUAUCUAUCGCUGCUAAUCUAUAUAUUGCUGCUAAUCUAUCGCUGCUAAUCUAUUGCUGCUGCCAAUCUAUCGCUGCUAAUCUAUUGCUGCUGCCAAUCUAUCUAUCACUGCUAAUCUAUCACUGCUAAUCUAUCGCUGCUGCCAAUCUAUCGCUGCUAAUUUAUUGCUGCUGCCAAUCUAUCUAUCACUGCUAAUCUAUUGCUGCUAAUCUAUCACUGCUAAUCUAUUGCUGCUAAUCUAUCGCUGCUAAUCUAUCGCUGCUAAUCUAUCGCUGUCAACCUAUCUACCGCGGCGAAUCUAUCUAUUGCUGCCAAUCAACCUACCUACCACUGCCAACCUAUCUAUCGCUGCCAAUCUAUCGCUGCCAAUCUAUCGCUGCCAACCUAUCUACUGCAGUGAAUCUAUCUAUCACUAUCAUUACUAGUUCAAAAUAGAACUAGAGCAUAAAUACACUAAACUUCUUUUGAUAGGCAAUGAUUUUUGGUAAUGCUCAUAGCAUUAUAUCAUCUAUAUAGGGUAAAUCAUGAUCCCAUUUGAUCCCAUUUUACAAAAUGGGACCAAAUGAGAUCAGAAUCAGUAAUUUAUAAGAAGAACAUGACCUGAGACUAGAUUUAUAAUAUAAGCAGUGUAAAGUGACUAAUUUAAUAAACACUAUGAGACC
rnacentral:sRNA from 1 species